UACAGAGGUCCCAAGCGUUGUUCGGAUUCACUGGGCGUAAAGGGUGCGUAGGUGGCCGGGUAAGUCUGAUGUGAAAUCUCCGAGCUCAACUCGGAAAUGGCAUUGGAAACUAUCCGGCUGGAGGAGUGGAGGGGGGACUGGAAUACUUGGUGUAGCAGUGAAAUGCGUAGAGAUCAUGAGGAAGACCAGUGGCGAAGGCGGGUCUCUGGACAGUUCCUGACACUGAGACACGAAGGCCAGGGGAGCAAACGGG
rnacentral:rRNA from 1 species